AGAGUUUGAUCCUGGCUCAGGACGAACGCUGGCGGCGUGCUUCAUACAUGCAAGUCGAACGAGAAAUUCACUUCGGUGGAUGGAAAGUGGCGGACGGGUGAGUAAUGUGUAGAGAAUCUGCCCUAGAGGCGGGGGACAACAGCUGGGAAACGGUUGCUAACUACCCCAUAUGAGCGUAUCUGAAAUGGUAUUCUUAGAAAACUCCGGUGCUCUAGGAUGAGUCUGCAUCUGAUUAGCUAGGUUGGGGGUGUAAUGGACCACCAAGGCGACGAUCAGUAGCUGGUUUGAGAGGAUGAUCAGCCACAAUGGGACUGAGACACGGCCCAUACUCCGUACGGGAGCA
rnacentral:rRNA from 1 species